rnacentral:lncRNA from 1 species
CUGUGAAUAGCAAGGUUAGGGCUUUGGUUCAAGAGUGUGGAACUAAGGAUGCUGAAAUUUCUAGGCUUCAGACUCGAGUUGCAGAAUUAGAAAGUGAAAAGAGAUGGCCAUAGAGCUGAGCUAGCAAAAGAAAAGGAGAAAAAAGAUGAGAUGCUUCAGAAUACGCUCAACCUUCUUCAAACUCAUCCCUCUAGUUCCUCCAAGCCUUAGGUUCUCCAACUCUUGUAUGGCAUUGACAUUUGGAACAUAAGGGAAUCUGGUUCAUGACAACUCUAGAGUACCACAUCUUAUACCCGUCUGCAUCCCUCUCCUUCGAUCCUACCGACCUAGUCUUUUGGACACAAGCUAUAUUGACCUUCCUCUUUUGGAGAAUCUUCGCCAACUCUAUAGACUUAUCGUCAAUGUUCCUAUGUCCAAUGACUC